GACGAACGAGGGCGGAGGGAGGAAAAAAGGAAACUCGAAGUGUAAGGCCCCUUUGGGGGUACUCGAGUGGCGAACGGGUGAGUAACACGUGAGUAACCUGCCCUUGACUUCGGGAUAACUUCAGGAAACUGGGGCUAAUACCGGAUAGGAAUCCUUGCUGCAUGGUGGGGGUUGGAAAGCUUCGGCGGUUUUGGAUGGACUCGCGGCUUAUCAGCUUGUUGGUGGGGUAGUGGCUUACCAAGGCUUUGACUGGGUCGCGGCCUGAGAGGGCGACCGGCCACAUUGGGACUGAGAUACGGCCCAGACUCCUACGGGAGGCAGCAGUGGGGAAUAUUGCACAAUGGGCGGAAGCCUGAUGCAGCAACGCCGCGUGCGGGAGUCCUCACUUGGGGUUGUAAACCGCUUUCAGCAGGCUCGAAGCUUGUGGUGACGGUACCUGCAGAAGAAGCACCGGCUCCCUACGUC
rnacentral:rRNA from 1 species